CAACACCAGUAUGAUCCCUGAAGUUAAGCAACGUCGAGCCUGGUCAGUAUUUGGAUGGGUGACUGUUUGGGAAUACCAGGUGCUGUAAG